rnacentral:rRNA from 1 species
UACGUAGGGUGCGAGCGUUAAUCGGAAUUACUGGGCGUAAAGCGUGCGUAGACGGUUAUUUAAGUCGGAUGUGAAAUCCCCGGGCUCAACCUGGGAAUUGCAUUCGAGACUGGAUAGCUAGGGUGCGGAAGAGGGAAGCGGAAUUUCCGGUGUAGCAGUGAAAUGCGUAGAUAUCGGAAGGAACAUCAGUGGCGAAGGCGGCUUCCUGGUCCAGCACCGACGUUCAGGCACGAAAGCGUGGGGAGCAAACAGG